GAAUGAUGAAAAAAUAUUUACAGACCUGUUCUGAUGCCUUUUGGUGUUUGAGGAUAACCUUAUAUUGCCUUUUUUCUGA